rnacentral:rRNA from 1 species
CCUACGGGUGGCAGCAGUGGGGAAUAUUGGGCAAUGGGCGCAAGCCUGACCCAGCAAAGCCGCGUGAAGGAAGAAGGCUUUAGGGUUGUAAACUUUUUUUAUCAGGGACGAAGCAAGUGACGGUACCUGAUGAAUAAGCCACGGCUAACUACGUGCCAGCAGCCGCGGUAAUACGUAGGUGGCAAGCGUUAUCCGGAUUUACUGGGUGUAAAGGGUGUGUAGGCGGGAGUGCAAGUCUGAAGGUAAAGCCCCGGGCACAACCUGGGAACCGCUUUGGAAACUGUUAAACUAGAGUGCUGGAGAGGCAGGCGGAAUUCGUAGUGUAGCGGUGAAAUGCGUAGAUAUUAGGAAGAACUCCAGUGGCGAAGGCGGCCUGCUGGACAGUAACUGACGUUGAGGCUCGAAAGCGUGGGGAGCGAACAGGAUUAGAUACCCCUGUAGUC